UGCCAGCAGCCGCGGUAAUACGGAGGGUGCGAGCAUUAAUCGGAUUUAUUGGGCGUAAAGAGCGCGUAGGUGGGUAUGUAAGUCAGAUGUGAAAGCCUGGAGCUCAACUUCAGAAUUGCAUUUGAAACUAUUUACCUUGAGGAUAGGCGGAGAAGACGGAAUUCCACGUGUAGCGGUGAAAUGCGUAGAUAUGUGGAAGAACACCGGUGGCGAAGGCGGUCUUCUAGCUUAUUCCUGACACUGAGGCGCGAAAGCAAGGGGAGCAAACAGGAUUAGAUA
rnacentral:rRNA from 1 species